rnacentral:rRNA from 1 species
UGAGGAAUAUUGGUCAAUGGGCGAUGGCCUGAACCUGCCAAGUAGCGUGAAGGAUGACUGCCCUAUGGGUUGUAAACUUCUUUUAUAAAGGAAUAAAGUCGGGUAUGCAUACCCGUUUGCAUGUACUUUAUGAAUAAGGAUCGGCUAACUCCGUGCCAGCAGCCGCGGUAAUACGGAGGAUCCGAGCGUUAUCCGGAUUUAUUGGGUUUAAAGGGAGCGUAGAUGGAUGUUUAAGUCAGUUGUGAAAGUUUGCGGCUCAACCGUAAAAUUGCAGUUGAUACUGGAUGUCUUGAGUGCAGUUGAGGCAGGCGGAAUUCGUGGUGUAGCGGUGAAAUGCUUAGAUAUCACGAAGAACUCCGAUUGCGAAGGCAGCCUGCUAAGCUGCAACUGACAUUGAGGCUCGAAAGUGUGGGUAUCAAACAGG